rnacentral:rRNA from 1 species
AACCUGGUUGAUCCUGCCAGUAGUCAUAUGCUUGUCUCAAAGAUUAAGCCAUGCAUGUCUAAGUAUAAGCACUUGUACUGUGAAACUGCGAAUGGCUCAUUAAAUCAGUUAUCGUUUAUUUGAUUGUACUUUACUACAUGGAUACCUGUGGUAAUUCUAGAGCUAAUACAUGCGAAAAAUCCCGACUUCUGGAAGGGAUGUAUUUAUUAGAUUAAAAACCAAUGCGGAUCUUCGGGUCCGUUUUCUUGGUGAUUCAUGAUAACUUUUCGAAUCGCAUGGCCUAGCGCCGGCGAUAUUUCAUUCAAAUUUCUGCCCUAUCAACUGUCGAUGGUAAGGUAGUGGCUUACCAUGGUUAUAACGGGUGACGGAGAAUUAGGGUUCGAUUCCGGAGAGGGAGCCUGAGAAACGGCUACCACAUCUAAGGAAGGCAGCAGGCUCGAAAAUUACCCAAUCCCAACUCGGGGAGGUAGUGACAAGAAAUAACGAUACGGGGUCUUAAUAGGUCUCGCAAUUGGAAUGAGUACAAUUUAAAUCCUUUAACGAGGAUCAAUUGGAGGGCAAGUCUGGUGCCAGCAGCCGCGGUAAUUCCAGCUCCAAUAGC